rnacentral:rRNA from 1 species
AAGCGUUGUUCGGAAUUAUUGGGCGUAAAGGGCGUGUAGGCGGUCCGUUAAGUCUGAUGUGAAAGCCCCGGGCUCAACCUGGGAAGUGCAUUGGAUACUGGCGGACUUGAGUACGGGAGAGGGCAGUGGAAUUCCCAGUGUAGGAGUGAAAUCCGUAGAUAUUGGGAGGAACACCGGUGGCGAAGGCGGCUGCCUGGACCGAUACUGACGCUGAGACGCGAAAGCGUGGGGAGCAAACAGGAUUAGAUACCCUGGUAGUCCACGCCGUAAACGAUGAGUACUAGGUGUUGCGGGUAUUGACCCCUGCAGUGCC